rnacentral:rRNA from 1 species
CUACGGGUUGCAGCAGUGAGGAAUAUUGCACAAUGGGGGGAACCCUGAUGCAGCAACGCCGCGUGGAGGAUGACGCAUUUCGGUGUGUAAACUCCUUUUAUAUGUCAAGAAAAUGACGGUAGCAUAUGAAUAAGCACCGGCUAACUCCGUGCCAGCAGCCGCGGUAAUACGGAGGGGUGCAAGCGUUACUCGGAAUCACUGGGCGUAAAGGACGCGUAGGCGGGUUGGAAAGUCAGGUGUGAAAUCCUACAGCUUAACUGUAGAACUGCACUUGAAACUUCUAAUCUAGAGUAUGGGAGGGGGAGAUGGAAUUAGUGGUGUAGUGGUAAAAUCCGUAGAUAUCACUAGGAAUACCUAAAGCGAAGGCGAUCUCCUGGAACAUUACUGACGCUAAGGCGUGAAAGCGUGGGGAGCAAACAGGAUUAGAUACCCCUGUAGUC